GUGCGGGGGGGGCUAUCUGCAGUCGAGCGGAAGAGGGACUUGGUCCCUGUUGUUUUCGGCGCGCAGGGGUGUAUCACGUGUGUAUCCUGCCUGUAUAACUGUGGUAACUCCGGGAAAACGGAGAUCUUACCGGAUAUUUCCUUGAACCCCAUGGGGUUCGGAUGAGAAACAGUUUCUUCUGUCCUUUUAAGAAUGGCCCCCCGCCCCUUUACUUAUUUGGUAGGGUAACGCUCUACCAGGGCACCAAUGCUUACCCAACUGGAAGGGGUGACCGCCCCCCUGGGACUUGAAACCCGGCCCAAAUCCCUCCGGGGGGCAGAAUUAGGAAUUUUCCCCAAAUGACCAAAGUCUGAACGAAAAACCCCCCCUGUGAUUGAGAAAGGUUUCCAAACGAAACCCCUUUGUUUAGGAAAAAAAUUCUGAAUAAUGCUUCCACCCUUGAGGGUCCUAACCAAAAACCCCGCUUACUCCUUCCAGACCCGGGAAAACUUAGUGGGAACUUUUCCGGAAUUUUGGGCUAAAGGCCCCUACCGUUUUUUAU
rnacentral:rRNA from 1 species